rnacentral:rRNA from 1 species
GUGGGGAAUAUUGGACAAUGGGCGAAAGCCUGAUCCAGCCAUGCCGCGUGUGUGAAGAAGGUCUUCGGAUUGUAAAGCACUUUAAGUUGGGAGGAAGGGCAGUAAGUUAAUACCUUGCUGUUUUGACGUUACCGACAGAAUAAGCACCGGCUAACUUCGUGCCAGCAGCCGCGGUAAUACGAAGGGUGCAAGCGUUAAUCGGAAUUACUGGGCGUAAAGCGCGCGUAGGUGGUUUUGUAAGUUGGAGGUGAAAUCCCCGGGCUCAACCUGGGAACUGCCUCCAAAACUGCAUGACUAGAGUACGGUAGAGGGUAGUGGAAUUUCCUGUGUAGCGGUGAAAUGCGUAGAUAUAGGAAGGAACACCAGUGGCGAAGGCGACUACCUGGACUGAUACUGACACUGAGGUGCGAAAGCGUGGGGAGCAAACAGGAUUAGAAACCCCCGUAGUCC